rnacentral:rRNA from 1 species
AUUGAACGCUGGCGGCAGGCCUAACACAUGCAAGUCGAGCGAGCGGCGGACGGGGGAGUAAUGUCUGGGAAACUGCCUGAUGGAGGGGGAUAACUACUGGAAACGGUAGCUAAUACGGCAUACCAUCAGCUGUGGCCAGAUGGGAUUAGCUAGUAGGUGGGGUAACGGCGCACCUAGGCGACGCUCCCUAGCUGGGCUGAGAGGAUGAGCAGCCACACUGUGACUGAGACCCGGUCCAGACUCCUACGGGAGGCAGCAGUGGGGAAUAUUGCACAAUGGUCGCAAGCCGGAUGCAGCCAUGCCGCGUGUGUGAAGAAGGCCUUCGGGUUGUAAAGCACUUUCAGUGGGGAGGCGGUACCCGCAGAAAAAGCACCGGCUAACUCCGUGCCAGCAGCCGCGGUAAUUC